UUUUUCUGUUUAUUCCCUAGACAUACAAGUUUUAACAGGCUGAGAGAAAGAUAUAUUUGCCUCUUCACCUUCUGUGUGGGAAAUUACAUUGGCUAAGAUGUGUAUGCUUAAGGACUCUGCCUUCCAGCUCUCCUGUUGGAGGGGAGAAGGGGCUACAGGAGGUGGUAUCAGUCAAGGCUUCAGUUAACCUUCAGCAAGGUGGUACGUUUUUAAAUGAUGAACUUAUCCUGGGAGUGUCCUCUUGUUCCAGGCAGGACAUCUGAUGCAAAGUGAAGUGAAUUCAGAGAAACACUAUUUAGAAGUUUUUGUUUGUUCAGGCG
rnacentral:lncRNA from 1 species